GCCUGGGUGGCUCAGUCGGUUGAGCAUCCGACUUCAGCUUGGGUCAUGAUCUCAUAGUCUGUGAGUUCGAGCCCCGCGUCGGGCU
rfam:Felis catus isolate Cinnamon breed Abyssinian chromosome C2, whole genome shotgun sequence.